rnacentral:rRNA from 1 species
ACGAACGCUGGCGGCGUGCUUAACACAUGCAAGUCGAACGGAAAGGCCCAGCUUGCUGGGUGCUCGAGUGGCGAACGGGUGAGUAACACGUGGGUGAUCUGCCCCUAACUUCGGGAUAAGCUUGGGAAACUGGGUCUAAUACCGGAUAGGACAAUCGUUUAGUGUCGGUUGUGGAAAGUUUUUUCGGUUAGGGAUGAGCCCGCGGCCUAUCAGCUUGUUGGUGGGGUAAUGGCCUACCAAGGCGUCGACGGGUAGCCGGCCUGAGAGGGUGGACGGCCACAUUGGGACUGAGAUACGGCCCAGACUCCUACGGGAGGCAGCAGUGGGGAAUAUUGCACAAUGGGCGCAAGCCUGAUGCAGCGACGCCGCGUGGGGGAUGACGGCCUUCGGGUUGUAAACCUCUUUCGACAGGGACGAAGCUUUGGUGACGGUACCUGUAGAAGAAGCACCGGCUAACUACGUG